rnacentral:rRNA from 1 species
AAUAUUGCAAAAUGGGCGAAAGCCCGAUGCAGCAACGCCGCGUGGGCGAUGAAGGCCUUCGGGUCGUAAAGCCCUUUUUGAGGGGAUGAGGAAGGACAGUACCCUCAGAAUAAGCCUCGGCUAACUACGUGCCAGCAGCCGCGGUAAAACGUAGGAGGCGAGCGUUAUCCGGAUUUACUGGGCGUAAAGCGCGUGCAGGCGGAUUGGAGAGUUGGAUGUGAAAGCUCCCGGCUUAACUGGGAGAGGUCGUUCAAUACUUCCAGUCUUGAGUGCAGUAGAGGGAAGUGGAAUUCCGGGUGUAGUGGUGAAAUGCGUAGAUAUCCGGAGGAACACCAGUGGCGAAAGCGGCUUCCUGGACUGUAGCUGACGCUCAGACGCGAAAGCUAGGGUAGCAAACG